CGCCCCCAGCAAUGGGUACUGAGACAACUUUUUGGUGGUGGUCUUCUUACAUCAGUCAGGGGCACAACAGCUGGUGGGCCUUUCUUUAUCCUAGCUUGAUGCCUGGCAUGGUGGCCAAAGCUGUCUCUUACCUAGGACUCAUAA